GAUUAUGAUAUCAUUUUGGGAGAUAGCCAUGAAUAGAUUUGUUAUUUAUUACUGGCUUUGAUAGAGUGUUGAAUUCCGAAACUAACCUGGUCAGCUGCCUACUCUUAUAAACUCCACUAGGCCUGUUUUGGUAAUUACCGCUCUCCUGAAAGCGCGCGCAAUUUUGCCCAUUUAACAGCAUCAUAUUCCUCUGUCUCUCUCUCUCUCUCUCUCUCUCUCAGCUUCUUGGUUUUUCUUGCGAGA
rnacentral:lncRNA from 1 species